GAAUACCACCAGCUGAAUAUGUCUGAUAUAUAUUCCCAAAUUGUCUUCAAUCGUACAGCGGAGGAUGUUACACGGUACAAAAGGGCAAACCUGCGUUCACCCCAGCCUGAAUUCUAAAGAUCACCUGGGAUCAUGUGAUGGCUGUCUACUACCAGGAAAUCAACCAGUCAGAGUAUUGGUCUAAUGUUUUCAAUGUCCAUGUUCCAGUUAUGUCAUACUCCAAUAGAGGCAUAUACUGUAGGUGUCUAUUGGUGUUGGACAUGAUUGCAUGUCUAGCAGGAAAGUGGGUUAUUGGAUGGUACAGGGUGUGGUAUGGUUUGCUCUGAUGUUUGUCCUAGUUUGGCAUCCAUUGUGUGCAAUGUGAGAACCUCAAGUGUUAGCUGAGAGAAUGUAACCUAUGACAGUUCUCUCCUAUUCUUUUUAUUCCUGUGGUGCCACCUUGUGCCCACUUCCAGACUAACACCUUCUAGUACAUCCUCAUGACCUACGGGGAGCACUCCUUUGCCCUGCUACGCUUCGGGGAGUUGGGCUCCUGGCCAAAGGCUCCACCAUGAGCCUCUCUACCAUCACAGGCUACUGCAACGGUGGAGCCCACUUUUUCAACGAGAUCACAAAUUAAAUGAAUCUGUUUGGCCCAGGGUGGCGGUACAGGCCUUAGGAGGUGAGGGGAAAUAUAAGUCAGAGCCCAAACGGGACCCCCAGAAGAGGUGCCAGGUGUGGGCCGUAAAGGAGCCUGAGCCGAAGGAGCGGGCCAAGGGGGUGUCGUCGUGCCCCUGUAUCCACGCCCAAGCACUGGACGAUCUGGCAUACAGGCCUGAGACCCUGUCCCCCCAACCAGCAGGAUCGGAUACAGUUGAGGAUCUCCUUCCGUUCCAGUGGUGUUGUAUCCUGUCUCCUCUGUGCCACCUCUAUCUGGACAUGACGCCCCUGGACCGUUGCCAAGGUUAUGGCUGGGCAUGGUGUACUGUAGCCUUCAUUUCAUCACCUUCAACGGGCCUGAGUAUUCCUUCAAGGCCCUGCGGCAAGUUUGUCAUUGUGCACCUCACCUCCUACACCAGCUCCAAUAUCUUCACGCUGCAGGGCGAGAAGGACUAGCUGGAGACAGAUGGACAGGCCAGACGGGUCCCCGCGGUGGUGACGAUGGCUGCUUUCCACAAGAUGAGGUGCACUGUACUUCAGUCAGUCGCUGUGCGGCGGUGUACGCCUGGGGGCUACACGUGGUGGUGUGGAGGGUGCAUGGAGGUGAUGGUGGACAGCAGCUGGCUGCUCUGGUGGAGGUCCCCCAGACCUUCUGCAACCACGCGGUGGGCCUGCUGGGCCUCUGGAGCUCCAACCACACCGAUGACUUCCUGCAGUCUGACGGGAAGCUGAUGAUCUUCCCCAACAACAACCCUCCCCCGGAGGAGAGCCUGCACCCCUUUGGCCUGUCCUGUAACAUGCCUCCCAUCGUGACUGAGCCCACAGUGAUCCGCUGUAAGUUCAAAUCCACUGUUCACGUGCAGAUCAGCACUCAAGAUGCCUACAAUAUAAGCUUCUCAAUGCUCUUCCCCAGACCACCACAAGCCUCUGUUGGGAAAAGUGAUGGCAUAUUGACCUGGACACCACUCGACAUCCAGCCUGUCUACCUGACCAUCAGAGUUAAUGACCAGCUGUUCAGCUCUCAGUUCGCCCACAUCCUGCAGGUGUGCAACUGCCUCAACAGUGGCACCUGCCAAUACGACAGCAUAGUGGACAACCAUCUGCAGGGGAGAUUUCAGGUGGUAGGGUGUCUGUGGCCUAAUUCUGUGGGAAUACCACUGAAGUGUGUAAAGGGAAGCCUAGCUUCCCAGGAGUGCAGUGCCAGUCCCAGUCUCAAUCCCAGGGAGAGACAGACCAG
rnacentral:lncRNA from 8 species